UUGUUAUUUGGCUCUAAUAAAGACAAGCACUAAGCAAAUGGAAUAGAAAAGCAGAAGGAAAUGAGAAAAGAGACAUGAUUGCAAUUCCAAGGGGAGGGGAGUAAUUGUAACAUUACUAAUAUGAGAUGGGAUGAGAUAGUAAUUUCUACCAAGUAGGUUAAAAAUCAUGUAAAACUUAACAUCCCACUAAAAAACAGAGACUACUAGCAUGAUCUAACCCCACACUCUUUUACAGUACUGCAGCAAAAGAGCUGGUUGUGUUGUGUCUUCCACUAUAAUGAACAUGUCAUAGUUAUUAUCUCAUAUAAUGCCGUGGAUAGUUUCUCAGACACAUGAUUUUUAACUGACCAGCAAAAUCUAUUCUCAAAGCUUAAGGCCACUACCAUCUUUCUUCUUCAACUUUUUGCUCCUCCAUGGUAGUGUAACCACCUGCUUCAUCCCCUUACGGAUAGUUCUUACCCAGGUAGGGGACUUGCCAUGAUGUGAGAGGCUAGAAGAGCUACCAGAACGUUUCAUAAUCUUGUUGUUGUCUGCAAUGUCAAUAGUACCAGUAUCCUUAUCAGUAGAAGAAGAUGGAAAGACAUGGCUACCACCACUGACCUGAUCUCUUUUGACAUUUUUCCUCCAAGAACCAAACCAACCACUGUCUCUUUUGAUAAGAAUAUUCAUAGUACUACCAAGUAA
rnacentral:lncRNA from 1 species